CGAAUUCGCCCUUUUCCGGUUGAUCCUGCCGGACCUGACUGCUAUCGGAUUGAUACUAAGCCAUGCGAGUCAUUGUAGCAAUACAAGGCAGACGGCUCAGUAACGCGUAGUCAAUCUACCCUAUGGACGGGGAUAACCUCGGGAAACUGAGAAUAAUACCCGACAGAACAUUAUGCCUGGAAUGGUUUAUGUUUUAAAUGAUUUAUCGCCGUAGGAUGGGACUGCGGCCUAUCAGUUUGUUGGUGAGGUAAUGGCCCACCAAGACUAUUACAGGUACGGGCUCUGAGAGGAGUGGCCCGGAGAUGGGUACUGAGACACGGACCCAGGCCCUAUGGCGCGCAGCAGGCGAGAAAACUUUGCAAUGUGCGAAAGCACGACAAGGUUAAUCCGAGUGGUUUCUGCUAAAGAAACCUUUUGUUAGUCCUAGAAACAUUGAUGAAUAAGGGGUGGGCAAGUUCUGGUGUCAGCCGCCGCGGUAAAACCAGCACCUGAAGUGGUCAUGAUGAUUAUUGGGUCUAAAGCAUCCGUAGCUUGCUUUGUAAGUUCUCGGUUAAGACCAUGCGCUUAGCGUAUGGGCUGCCGGUAAUACUGCAAAGCUAGGGAGUGGGAGAGGUAGACGGUACUCGGUAGGAAGGGGUAAAAUCCUUUGAUCUAUUGAUGACCACCUGUGGCGAAGGCGGUCUACCAGAACACGUCCGACGGUGAGGGAUGAAAGCUGGGGGAGCAAACCGGAUUAGAUACCCGGGUAGUCCCAGCUGUAAACUAUGCAAACUCAGUGAUGCAUUGGCUUGUGGCCAAUGCAGUGCUGCAGGGAAGCCGUUAAGUUUGCCGCCUGGGAAGUACGUACGCAAGUAUGAAACUUAAAGGAAUUGGCGGG
rnacentral:rRNA from 1 species